rnacentral:ncRNA from 1 species
AGGAGCCGUGCGAGAUGAAAGUCUCAUGCGCGGUUUUGAAUGAGAGGAAAGAAGUGAGAAUCCUCUUUUCGACUAUGAU